rnacentral:rRNA from 1 species
GCUAGAAAAGCUGGUUAACUUAUGCUGCUGCCUACCGUACCGCAAACCAACACCGGUGCUCGAGUCGAGUAGACUAAGACCUACGAGAGACCCUUCGCUAAGGAACUCGGCAAAAAAGCGUCCGUAACUUCGGAAUAAGGACUGCCUCCUCAUCAAGGUGAGGAUUUGCUAGAAGUUGACCUCGGCGGAAGUGAGGUUAGGAAUUACCUUAAUCAUCAACUUUUCACCGAGACUGACAACUUUUAGCAGCGUAAUCGUCAUUUUAAUGAGGAGGCCGCAGCUAAAGAGCCCACGGAACUGUUUACCAAAAACACAGGUCUCUGCUAACGCGAAAGCGGAUGUAUAGGGGCUGACUCCUGCCCAGUGUCGGAAGGUUAAGGGGAGAACUUCACGGUUCGAACUGAAGCCCCGAUGAACGGCGGCGAUAACUAUGAUCGUCCUAAGGUAGCGAAAUUCCUUGUCUGGUAAGUUCAGACCCGCACGAAUGGAGUAAUCAUGUGGGCACUGUCUCGGCGAAGGCCUCGGUGAACGUGCAUUGGCGGUAAAGAUGCCGUCUGAUCAUGCCAGGACGAGAAGACCCCAUGGAGCUUUACUACAACUUUGCAUUGAUCUCUGGGACAUUUUGUGUAGAAUAGGUGGAAGACUUUGAAGCAGAUACGCCAGUAUUUGUGGAGUCGAAAUGUGAAAUACCACCCUGAGUGUUUUAGCGAUCUCACUUUUGACCUGAUCGGCCAAAAGGACCGUGCAUGGCGGGUAGUUUAACUGGGGCGGUUGCCUCCUAAAGAGUAGCGGAGGCGUUCAAAGGUUGGCUAACUACGGAUGGAAAUCGUAGUGAUAGUGUAUGCGCAAAAGCCAGCUUGACUGUGAGGGCUACAACCCAAUCAGACACGAAAGUGGGAGCAAAUGACCCGCUGUAUUAAUCUUCGGAUUUAUUUAUGUGGGAAAGACAGCGCACACGGAUAAAAGUUACCCUGGGGAUAACAGGCUGAUCGCGUCCAAUAGUUCACAUAGACGACGCGGUUUGGCACCUCGAUGUCGGCUCAUCACAUCCUGGAGGGGGAGCACCUUCCAAGGGUCCGGCUGUUCGCCGGUUAAAGUGGUACGCGAGCUGGGUUCAGAACGUCGUGAGACAGUUCGGUUUAUAUCCGGCAUGAUCGUUAGGAAUUUUGAGGAGAUCUGUCUCUAGUACGAGAGGACCGAGAUGGACGAAUCUCUAGUGUAUCGGUUGUGGCCACCUGCUGCAUUGCCGAGUAGCUAUGUUCGGAAUAGAUAAGCGCUGAAAGCAUAUUAAGCGCGAAACUGACUCCAAGAUUAGAAUUCCCUAUGACCUCCCAGAAAGAUGAUCUGGUUGAUAGGCGCAAGGUGGACGCAUGGUAACAUGUGGAGCCGAAGCGUACUAAUCGAGGCAUUGCCUUUUUAUG